CGGACUGACCCUCAACAGCGUGCUGAGGACACACAGGUUCUUACGGAGCCACCAGCCACUGGGCUGGCCACAGCCGUGCCCACCCCCAUCCCAUGGAAAUAGAAUGCAGUGAUUUAUGCCAGGGACAGAGCUUGGAACCCUUGCUGCAGCCAUUUCUUACCUGGAACAUGUACUCAGGGAUACAAUUAUUUCUGCGACACAGAUUGAAGUUGCCUUUUUAGUUUAAAAUGCAUACCAUCAAGGUGAACGUAAGAACUGGACGGAUUCUGAUAUUCCCUCAUCACCUACAGUGAAGAUGUUGGAUCCCUUGCUCAUGCAAAGAUUGUGACAGUCUCCCUUCCGCACCCAUCAUAUACGGUGGAGAUGGCGCUUCUCAUGCUGUGUCACUGUGUCAGAAUGACCUGGAGAAGCUAUUAAAAUAGGGACCCAGUGCCCAGAUAUCAGCAAUCCUGAUUCUCCAGGGUUAGCAGAGGACAGAGGUUGUUCAUUUAAGAAGGUCUCAGGUGAAACUAGCUCUACUGAACGAACAGACGAGCCCCUUUCUAUGGCCAAGACAACCGGAAUAUUUCCUUGCCCAUCCCUGGUUUAAAAAGCCAAGAUCUCCUGGGCAGCCUGCCAUUCUUUGCUGUGAUGACUAUGAAGAAGCAGCCCAUGCAACUGUUCGAUACCUAUCCCUGUCACUUUCAAGUCUGCUGUUCAAAUCCUGCAAUAGACCAGUGGAAAAGACACAGUCAGAUGUCCUACAGUGUGGUGUGUUGUGGCUUCAAUGGGGAAAACCACAUGACUCUUCCUAUAAACUGAUUAAAAUGUUUUCUUUCUUUCAUAA